GCCCAAGGCUGUGUUGCUUAUUCCUUACU
rnacentral:piRNA from 1 species